rnacentral:rRNA from 1 species
UACGUGGGGUGCGAGCGUUAAUCGGAAUUACUGGGCGUAAAGCGCGCGUAGGUGGUUUGUUAAGUUGGAUGUGAAAGCCCUGGGCUCAACCUGGGAACUGCAUCCAAAACUACUGAGCUAGAGUACGGUAGAGGGUAGUGGAAUUUCCUGUGUAGCGGUGAAAUGCGUAGAUAUAGGAAGGAACACCAGUGGCGAAGGCGACCACCUGGACUGAUACUGACACUGAGGUGCGAAAGCGUGGGGAGCAAACAGGAUUAGAAACCCCAGUAGU